UUUUGAGACAGGGUCUCAUUCUGUCGCUUAGGCUGGAGUGGCAAGGGAACUCAGCUCACUGCAACCUCCGCCUCCCAGGCUCACGUGAUUCUUGUGCCUCAGCCUCCUCAGCAGCUGCAACUACAGGACGGUGGGUGACUGGCUCCCCUGGCCCUUCCUUGCUCUCAGCAAGAGCUCCUGCCACUGCCACAGUGGAAAAGGCCUGAAUUUGGGAAAUGAAGACGUCAGAGACUCGCAACUUCUUCUGAAAGCCCAGCCAACUUUCCUACAAGCAUGACUGCAGACGUGGAAGAGAAAAGGCAGAUGGCCUGGGUUCAAAGCCCAGCUUAAAAACACAUAUUCUAGCUUUGUGACCUUGGUCAUUUUGGUUUUACUUCCCUCAUCUGUAAAACGGGGAGAAUAAAGGUCUCUAAC
rnacentral:lncRNA from 10 species